rnacentral:rRNA from 1 species
GACGAACGCUGGCGGCGUGCUUAACACAUGCAAGUCGAACGGAAAGGCCCUGCUUGCAGGGUACUCGAGUGGCGAACGGGUGAGUAACACGUGGGUGAUCUGCCCUGCACUUCGGGAUAAGCCUGGGAAACUGGGUCUAAUACCGGAUAUGACCUUCCAUGUAGUGUGGGGGGGGGAAAGAUUUAUCGGUGUGGGAUGAGCCCGCGGCCUAUCAGCUUGUUGGUGGGGUAAUGGCCUACCAAGGCGUCGACGGGUAGCCGGCCUGGGAGGGUGGACGGCCACAUUGGGCCUGAGGUACGGCCCAGACUCCUACGGAAGGCAGCAGUGGGGAAUAUUGCACAAUGGGCGGAAGCCUGAUGCAGCGACGCCGCGUGGGGGAUGACGGCCUUCGGGUUGUAAACCUCUUUCGACAGGGACGAAGCUUCGGUGACGGUACCUGUAUAAGAAGCACCGGCUAACUACGUG